AGCAGCCGCGGUAAUUCCAGCUCCAAUAGCGUAUAUUAAAGUUGUUGCAGUUAAAAAGCUCGUAGUUGAAUUUCGAGACCGGCUUACUGGUCGUGCUUUUGUACGUACUGGUAUAAUCGGUUUCUCCUUUCUGACGAACUAUAAUGCCAUUAAUUUGGUGUUAUAGGGAAUCAGGACUGUUACUUUGAAAAAAUUAGAGUGUUUAAAGCAGGCUCACGCUUGAAUACAUUAGCAUGGAAUAACGGAAUAGGACGUUUGAUUCUAUUUUGUUGGUUUCUAGGAUCGACGUAAUGAUUAAUAGGGAUAGUUGGGGGCAUUAGUAUUCAAUUGUCAGAGGUGAAAUUCUUGGAUUUAUUGAAGACUAACUACUGCGAAAGCAUUUGCCAAGGAUGUUUUCAUUAAUCAAGAACGAAAGUUAGGGGAUCGAAGACGAUCAGAUACCGUCGUAGUCUUAACCAUAAACUAUGCCGACUAGGGAUCGGAUGAUGUUAAUUUUUUAAUGACUCAUUCGGCG
rnacentral:sRNA from 1 species